GCAGUGUCAGCUAGCCACCGGCGGACACUUACCACGGCCCAUAGGGUUGAAAGUUUCCAAGGGGUCCCGCCUUUCUGUCCGUGGGACUCCACCAACUUGGUUUCACACCUACGCCCCCAACGUUGGAUCUUGGUCACAAAUGUUCCAGGACCGCGAAGGCUUUUGUGUGUUUAUUUGAGAUCUGCGACCUGUAGCUGGAGCGCCGGACGCCAUUGUCGUCUCCUGCUGUGGUGACCUUGUUAAGAGUGCAGAUCGAUUGGUAUCCUAUAAGGUCGUGAUGUUCAGCUGCAUGCUCCUGGCUGAUAGCAGAAGCCUCCCGUCCCAACUGGGUUCCUCUUUAGCCUCGUUGAUGAGAAUGUCGAUCUAGACUCCCAUCGUUGUUAUACUCCUCUCAGGAGCUCGAAAGCAUUCGACUUACCGUAGCCUCGUGCCUUGAUCAUUAAAAUUCUUGAGCAUACUUAAUCUGAUUUUUCAAAUUUGAUCUUCUGAAGGCUUUCAACUUUAGAGCUCUCACAUAGUAUUGAAGUUUAAAAUUCAAAAUGAGUCGGCCGUGAUUUGGGGAGGCCCUCUGUAUUCGCCGCUACCUACCUGAUUGGCUAUGCACACUAGGGCUGAUCUUGCCAGUUGGGCAAUCAACAACGCUGAUGAGUUCGUAAACAACCAUAUAAUAACCUCCAUUUUCCAACAGAAGUACCAGAAUUUGCUGGAUGACUCAAUCUCGACUGUACAAAAAAAUCCGAACCCGUCGACCGACGUACAAAGGGAAAUGUCCAUCAAGAUAUAAUCCAAAUAUGAAUCAGCCGAGCGACCUUGCGAGGGACAUGUUUAUUAAUGAAUUGUUUGGAUGAGGUAUUUUGCGUAUUUACGUAAUAUUUUGGAGCAAAAUAUUGUAUUAUUUGACUAUUUGAGAAUGUGAUAUUUAUGACGUAUUUAACAGGGUUCCUUUUUAGCCUCGCUGAUGAGAAUGAACCUGCAUUUUUUGUUGCUCUUAUUUUAUACAAUCAUGCAAUGAGGGGGA
rnacentral:lncRNA from 1 species